rnacentral:rRNA from 1 species
UACGGAGGGGGCUAGCGUUGUUCGGAAUAACUGGGCGUAAAGCGCGCGUAGGCGGAUUGGAAAGUUGGGGGUGAAAUCCCGGGGCUCAACCUCGGAACUGCCUUCAAAACUCCCAGUCUUGAGUUCGAGAGAGGUGAGUGGAAUUCCGAGUGUAGAGGUGAAAUUCGUAGAUAUUCGGAGGAACACCAGUGGCGAAGGCGGCUCACUGGCUCGAUACUGACGCUGAGGUGAGAAAGCGUGGGGAGCAAACAGG